GAACGCACCUUGCGCCCUUUGGCUAUUCUGAAGGGCAUGCCUGUUUGAGUAUCAUGAACACCCUCAAGCACUGCUUGGUGUUGGGCGUCUGUCCCGCCUUUGCGCGUGGACUCGCCCCAAAGUCAUUGGCAGCGGUCUCUGGCACCUCAACGCGCAGUACAAUGCGUUCAUUGGGGUGCCGUGGGCGCGACCAUAAAGCUAUUUACCGUCUUUGACCUCGGAGCAGGUAGGGAUACCCGCUGAACUUA
rnacentral:misc_RNA from 1 species